rnacentral:rRNA from 1 species
CAGUAGCUGGUUUGAGAGGAUGAUCAGCCACACUGGGACUGAGACACGGCCCAGACUCCUACGGGAGGCAGCAGUGGGGAAUAUUGCACAAUGGGCGCAAGCCUGAUGCAGCAACGCCGCGUGAGGGACGACGGCCUUCGGGUUGUAAACCUCUUUCAGUACCGACGAAGCGCAAGUGACGGUAGGUACAGAAGAAGCACCGGCCAACUACGUGCCAGCAGCCGCGGUAAUAC